GCUUGCCAUUCAUUUAGCGAUGUCGGUGUGUCAAUGCGAACGGUAACCGAGUGGGCUACGUCCGACACAAUUAGGCUGUGUUAUACUGUGUGAUCUGCCUGCGGGAGCGGGCUUCAACCAAGAAAAUGAAUUUGUGUACACUAUUUAAAUUAAGCAGGACCUCUAAAGGAGCCAUUUACACAGUUUUAAUCAAUGACUUCAAUCAAAGUACAUGUUUGUUCUGAUCCAGCAACGAGCUUAAAAAGCGGACGGCUCACUUCCAAUGCUCAGCAGAAACACAAAUGUGUUCCCUUUCCGUAGGAUCGAUAAAGACGCAUUUAAAGCGCCUUAAAUCAAUAUACUUAAACCGUACAGUUAAAUUAACAGAGAACACCCGUGCAGCAACGUAGCAGAUGAAUGCGCCUAAAUGAGCGUGGAGUUUCGUGCUAGUUCUGAAGACAUGUGAAGCAUGCAAAUGUGACUGUGGAAGCUUCGUGCAGUUUUUUUUAACCCUCCUUAGCGAAAAUGCUAAAAGGCAGCUCGAGAGAAAACCGGCAGGACCGAGUUUAGACAUCGAAGUGACGACGAAACGGUCUAAAAAACCUUUUGC